rnacentral:lncRNA from 1 species
UAAUUGAGGACUGCCUGAGAGAGCAAGGAUUGCUGGUGCAGACAAUGUCAGCCAAUCAGGAACUGCUGUUUAGAAGAGAUGCUUUCUUGGGGCCAAUGGGGGCGUGGGUGGAGGGUAUUAAAGGAGCUUGCAGCAGUGUUCAGAUGAGCUUGCUGCAGCAUUUCUCACCUGCUCCCAGAGUCUGUGUCCUUGACUCUGUGCCACUUCACCCCCCAAGCCUUGAGAGCAGGUAGGGUUGGGCUGUGCUUAGUCCAGAGCUCAGACAACAACUGCCACUGUAGUAACAAUAGGAAGGCAUGCACAUCACACCAAGAGGCACACAGCAGACGGCUUAGAGCUGCAUGUGUCGUCACACCCCCAAUCUGUAGAAAACCCAAAUACCCAUCUGCAGUGCAACUUUAUACAGGGGACUUUACACCAUGAAGUUGAGUGGCACCUGUAAGUCUCAUAAACUACAUGGUGAUCGACAACGUCUCACAUACCUCGUGUGCAAUUCUGUAGAUUUUAACAAUAUAUAAAACUAAUCUGUGGAGCUUUAUAGAUACGUGUUUAGAUGAAGAAAAGAAAGCAUAAGAAAAAAAAGUGAUUCACACACAUAUAUACAGAAAAUCGUUUUCGGGCUGGAAAGAUGGCUCAGUGGUUAAGAACAGUGGCUGCUCUUCUAGAGGUCUUGAGUUCAAUUCCGAGCAACCACAUGAUGGCUCACAGCCAUCUGUACAGCUACAGUAUAGUCAUUACUUAAAAUAAAUAAAUAAAUCUUUAAAAAAAUAAAAUAAUUUUCACUGAUCUAUUCACUUUACAUCCAGAUCAAAGAUCCUCUCCCUCCUCUCCUCCCAGUCCCACCCUCACAACCAACCCCCCCCUUGUUACACCCUUCUCUUUAGAAAAGGUGAGCCACCACACACACCCUAUGGGUACUAACAUGUCCUGGCAAACCAGGUCACAUCAGGACUAAGUGCAUCCUCUCCCACUGAGGCCAGACAAGGCAGCCCAGCUAGGGGAAAGGAAUCCAAAGUCAGGCAACACUCAAAGACAGCCCCUGCUCCAGUUGUUAGAGAAGCCACAUGAAGACCAAGCUGCACGUCUGCUACAAAUGUGUAGGGGCCUAGAUCCAGCCCAUGCAUGCUCUUUGGUUGGUGGUUCAGUCUCUGUGGGCCCCCAGGGGCACUGGUUAGUUGACUCAAUAGGUCUUCUUAUAGUGUCCUUGACCCAUCUGGCUUUUUCAAUCCUUCCACUCUUCCACAAGACUCUCUGAGCUCCGCCUGUUGUUUGGCUGUGGGUCUCUGCAUCUGUUUCCAUCAGCUUCAGGAUGAAGCCUCUCAGAAGACAGUUAUGCGAGGUUCCUGUCUGCAAGCGUAGCCGAGGAUCAUUAGUAGUGUCAGGAGUUGGUUGAGAGAGGGAAUCUUAGAUGUGAGCAAGGAGAAGACCAGGGGGUUGUCAAGAAUGGGCAUUCAGGAGAAGGUCUAAAUCCUGCCCGAGCUUACAUCCUUGAGUUAGGUGGUAGUUACGUGGUGUUGACUUAUACCAACUUACUCAAGUUUGCAUGGAUGCCUAAGCCUGUUUCCUAAGGAGCACUGCCAACGCAGAAAUGCUCGCAGGAGAGAAAUCUAUUUUCAUUACGUCAGAAAUUAGGGCUGGGCUAUAUGUUAAAUCUGCUAUUUUAAUUCUAAAUAAAUGAUAGCAUUUUAUUCUCCGCAAUUCCAAACCGUUUCAAUUUUGUUAUUAUUUUAACAAAAAUCAGUAAAGAUUUAAAAAAAAAAAAAAGAGGGGAGGUGAAGAGUCUGACAUUUGUGGAAGUGGAUGGAAACAGACAAAACGGAGUUUAAUAACAUAGAGCCUCUCCUCUGUAGUUCCCAAGCUCAGGGACAACGGGGGCGAAGAAUAACCACCUGAAGGCCCCUUUUUUUGUUUUGUUUUGUUUUGUUUUGUUUGUUUAUUUUACUCUAUCAAAGUACUUAACGCCCCUUCCAUGAGUAUAAUGCAAAUAUGAAUAAUGGAAUUGAUUUUUUUUUUAGCAAAUAUACAAGAAUAAAUCAGAUGAGCCCAUUUCCUCCCAGGUAUUCAUCCAGAAAGCAAGACACUUUCCCAAUGCGGCUCAGUGAUUACAAACAUCCGGGCACCUUCUGGGAGAGUCCGCUUUCAGCGCCCACGGCACCCUUUUUUUUUUUUUUUAAUAACCUCCAGGACGGUGGAUUCAGCCUUUGAGAACGAACUGGGAAGUUAUUUGGUUCGGCACUGAUAAACAGCACAGGUUAUGAAGCCAGAGGACAACUAUAACAGAUUCUCUCAAGUCCUUUGGUUUCCAGGGAUGGAACUCAGGCCAGCAAACCUGGUAGCAAGCAUCUUUCUUUACUUUCUUAGCCAGUUCACCAGCCCCUGGUGUGGGUUUGUUGUUGCUGGAACAGGGUAUCCUGUAGCUCAAGCUGGUCUCCAAUCAACCAGGAGGCAGCAUCCCCAGGCUUCGAGUUGAGAACCCAUCACUGGCAGCCAAAAUCUCUGGCAACUGGAAUCACAGUAUGGGCAUAACAGCCAAAGUCGAGGAUCUGUGGCUGGAGACUCAACUUCAUUCCUCAGACCCCUGUUUGCACCUGAAGGGUGAGCAAAAGGCCAGUUCACCAUGUAGAGGCUCAGGGUGUGCAGAGCCAGGUGUGGGAGCCUGCGGGGGGCGGGGGGGAGGGACGACAUGGGGGGCGCCAUGCCUGGUGCUAGAUGCUAAGUACUGGAUGCCGGUUGCACGAUGAUGCCCUGCUGAGGGUGUGGGUGUUUGGUACAGAGUGCUCCACCGCCUGGUUGCAGGGAGUCUCGCAGGAGGCGAAGCCCACAGCAGCCCCUUCCUCCCAGCCACCCUUUGCCUCCUGCUGCUGCCGCUGCUCUCUGCUUUCCAAGCCUAAGUGCUUUUUAAUUAGCCUGCCUCACUUCCUGGAUUCAUCUCUAGUGUUGGCGACCUCGUGCAUGGCAUCCCGCGCCACUUCUGCCAGCGGGGCCCAGUCUGCCAGCUGAGCUCAGGCUGCCGGUGAGUUGUGCUGCCCGGCUCUGUGCUCCAGCCCCGAAGACUCUCACAGGCAGAAGGGACCCUGCUGUUUUGGGGCGUGAUCAGAUUUCUGGACAGCUCUGAACGUUUCCACCUCUGGUGUCUGGGGAAGAGGGGUCGGGGCAGGGUGUAACCUGCCUACAGUUGAUUUUCAAAUUCGCAUGCGGCUUUUCUUCAUGUCUUCCUUUACUAAUUCUUGUGUUUGAUUUGUAACUGUACGCUUUUCUGAUUAUUUUUUAAAAAGCUAAAGAAUAAUUUCGUUUUUGUUUUUGUGUUUGUUUUUUGUUUUGUUUUGUUUUUGUUCUGGGAGAAGAGAUCCAUCUGGAUCUCGAGGCUUCAGCAGGGAGGAGUCGGGUGGGCAGUCCCCGCUGGCCUUGUACCUAGCCAGUGAGCCCCACACCAACACCCAAGAAAACCCUGAAACAGCCUUCAAGACUGGUAAUAGGAGAGCCCGUGCUUGGCUUUCCUAGGUUUCUUUUUUAUUUUAUUUUUAAUUUAUUUUUUACACUCCAUAUUCCAUUCCUGCCCCUCUCCCCAAUCCACCCUCCGACUUUUCCACGCGCCACACCUCCUCCCCACCCCACCUGACCUCGAAACUCCCUGGGGCCUCCAGUCUCUUGAGGGUUAGGUGCAUCAUCUCUGAAUGAACACAGACUCGGAAGUUCUCUACUGUAUGUGUGUUGGGGGCCUCAUCUCCACAGAAAAGAAAUCUGCCACCGACCUCCCUUCCCUUAGAACAGCUGUUCUCAACCUUCUUAGUGCUGCGACCCUUUAAUAGAGUUCCUCUUGUUGUGGUGACCCGCAACCAUAAAACUAUUUUCAUUGCUACCUUGAAACUGUAAUUUUGCUACUGUUAUGAAACGUGAUAUAAAAUAUAUGCCUUUUCCCAUGGUCUUAGGUGACCCCUGUGGCAGGGCCAUUGGACUUCAGAUGGGUCACAACCUAAAAGAUAAGAAUUGCUGUCUUAGGGCACUGAAUUUAGAAAAUGUCUAAGUAGAAAUCUGUUUUCUACAUCCUCCUCUCUUAUCUUCUCUCUGGGUUUACGGGGCAGGAAAGUGGUUACAAAAAAAAAAAAAAAAAAAAAAGACCUGAAAACCAUGGGCCUUAGUCAUCAAGAAAGGCCUUAACAGUAGAAACCCCAAUUUUAAAAUGGCCUUCAAUAGGCAAGAGAGAUGGCUUAGUAGUUAGGAUCUGGCCUCUUGCAGAGGCGUUGGGUUUGCUUCCCACUCUGCACACCGUCUCUCAUGAUAACUCCAUUCCUAAGUGAUCCAAUGGCCUCUUCCUCUGGUCUCAGAGGGCACUGCAUACCUGAUGUACACAGACAUAUGCAAGCAAAAUACCCACGCACAUAAAAUAAAGGAGGGAAAAAUUUAAUGUGGGUUUCCAAAGGACAAAUCAACACCAUACCUACCCUACCCCCCCCCACCUGCCCCCCCAAAAAAGGGCUGCCAGAUGCUUAAAAUGGUGCUUCAUCUUACUAAACACCAAAAAAUAAAAUAAGAUAAUAAAAUAUCUCAAAAUCAUCUCUCACCUAUUA